AUUGAACGCUGGCGGCAGGCUUAACACAUGCAAGUCGAGCGGGGGAGGUUGCUUCGGUAACUGACCUAGCGGCGGACGGGUGAGUAAUGCUUAGGAAUCUGCCUAUUAGUGGGGGACAACAUUCCGAAAGGGAUGCUAAUACCGCAUACGCCCUACGGGGGACCGCAAGGCCUGGCGCUUGGAGAUGAGCCCGCGUCCGAUUAGCUAGGUGGCGGGGUAACGGCCCACCAAGGCGCCGAUCGGUAGCCGGCCUGAGAGGGCGGACGGCCACACUGGGACUGAGACACGGCCCAGACUCCGACGGGAGGCAGCCGUGGGGAAUUUUUCGCAAUGGGCGAAACCCUGACCAAGCAACGCCGCGUGGAGGAUGAAGGCCUUCGGGUCGUAAACUCCUGUCGACCGGGAAGAAUGCACCCGACCUAAUACGUCGAAGUGUUGACUGUACCGGUGGAGGAAGCCACGGCUAACUCUGUGCCAGCCGCCGCAGUAAAAC
rnacentral:rRNA from 1 species